UACGUAGGGUGCAAGCGUUGUCCGGAAUUAUUGGGCGUAAAGAGCUCGUAGGCGGUUUGUCGCGUCGGCUGUGAAAACUCGGGGCUCAACCCCGAGCCUGCAGUCGAUACGGGCAGACUAGAGUGCUGUAGGGGAGACUGGAAUUCCUGGUGUAGCGGUGGAAAUGCGCAGAUAGUCAGGAGGAACACCGGUGGGCGAAGGCGGGUCUCUGGGCAGUAACUGACGCUGGAGGAGCGAAAGCGUGGGGAGCGAACAGG
rnacentral:rRNA from 1 species